AGUGAACGCUGGCGGUAGGCCUAACACAUGCAAGUCGAACGGCAGCACAGUAAGAGCUUGCUCUUACGGGUGGCGAGUGGCGGACGGGUGAGGAAUACAUCGGAAUCUACUUUUUCGUGGGGGAUAACGUAGGGAAACUUACGCUAAUACCGCAUACGACCUACGGGUGAAAGCAGGGGAUCUUCGGACCUUGCGCGAUUGAAUGAGCCGAUGUCGGAUUAGCUAGUUGGCGGGGUAAAGGCCCACCAAGGCGACGAUCCGUAGCUGGUCUGAGAGGAUGAUCAGCCACACUGGAACUGAGACACGGUCCAGACUCCUACGGGAGGCAGCAGUGGGGAAUAUUGGACAAUGGGCGCAAGCCUGAUCCAGCCAUACCGCGUGAGUGAAGAAGGCCUUCGGGUUGCAAAGCCCUUUUGUUGGGAAAGAAAAGCAGCAGGUUAAUACCCCGCUGUUCUGACGGUACCCAAAGAAUAAGCACCGGCUAACUUCGUG
rnacentral:rRNA from 1 species